CUUUUUCCCUCAUCAAGGUUUUGUCCCAAUGGGUUUUCCUUGGGGAGGUUUUUAAUGAGGAAGAUCUCAUGGCUAUCCAAGCUUAGACUUUCACAAAGCUAAGCUUGAGGGGGAGUGUUGAGAAGAAGGCAUUAGAUGAUGAGAUGGAUUGCUAAUAAGAGAGUGAGGCUUAGGAGAGCAAUGGGUUGGAGGAAUGAGUUUGGGAGAGGCUAGGCCGUAUAGGACGUACCAUGGCCGUACAUGCCGUACAAGAGGAACUCGACCAAGAUCACUCCUUAAGGGAAGUUACUACACUCGGUUAACUUAAGAGGUAAAGGAGAAGUCUUACUG
rnacentral:lncRNA from 1 species